ensembl:lncRNA
AUACUGGCUGAAGUACAGUUCAGCAUAUGGAGUCUAUUCCAAGAAAUGGAGGGAGAGAAAUCAAAACACAUGUUUUUCAAAAGUGCUGGAAUGGCCGGAUUAGCAGAAAUUACAAAUGGUCUGGAAGAGUUAAAAAGGGAUAUAAAGAAACAACUGCUUUCCCUUCAAUUUCCAAGAAGUCUCUGGAAAACACAAAAACAGCACAGUAAUUUGAACAGCCAGAGAUCAUCCAAAACCCUUCAGGAACUGUUCUUCUCCCCACAGAUUUCAUGUUCCCAGCAAUCUCUGUACAAAGCUGUCAGCUCUAAGUGGGCUGGGCAUCAUAUGGAGCAUCGCCUUGCUCGAAGGCUGAAGCAGCCGGUUGGACGUCAGGCAGCACUUGAGGAUGAAAGUCUAGCUGCCUUGGGAAAUACAGAGGCUUUUACUCUGAGGUCCAAAGAAAAAACUACAGAUCAGGCCAGAAGUCACCAUGCAAAUUCCAGUGCAUUUUCAGGUAGAUCUCAACAGAAGGAUAAAACCUGUUUAUCAGAAGAGGAGUUAUUCUUCAAAAGGCACACAACAGCAAUGCAGAGAGGAGUAAAUUUAAAUAAUUGGGUCCUGCCAACCCAGAGAACAGAUGAAAUACCUCACUUGAAGAGCCUGGAGAUUAGUGAUGACAAGGGAAACAACAGAGUGAUGACAGACUCAUUGAAAAGUGCUUUGUUAGAAACUGUUGCUUUAGCUAAAAAUGAGCAUUCCAGUCAGGAUAAUGGAGCAGACAGACCUGUCUACAGUGAAUCCUCAUCACAAAGUACAGCUCAGCUGGAGCCGCAGUCUGCAAGCAGGGCUGAAAAAACAAAGUCUUCUACUCCUUUGUUACUCAGGAGCUGGGAGGUGCCUGCUAAUCUGGGAGAAGAUAAACAACGGGACCCUCCUGAUAGUGACAGAGACAGGACUAUAAUUAGGGGACACAUCAAUAUACCAUAUUCAGUCAGAAAGAAAGUCUUUAUGGUCUACAUUUGUGGAGGUUAUCAAAGUAUAGCAAUUGGAAACCAGCCCCAUUCCCACCACAGACACUCCCACACCCUGAGAUUCCUGGACUAUCAUGUCUAAUUAUUAUUAUUCACUAUAUAGUGCCAGGAAGUCUAGUUUCAGGGAAAGAGCAUAAGACUGGGAGUCAGGAGGUUGUUGUUCUAAGUCUGACUGCCCUUGACUCACUGUUUGGCCUACAGCAAGUUGUUUCAUUUAUUGUCUCAGUUUUUCCAUCUGUAAAGUAAGAAUAAUAAUAUGUACCUACCUAUCUAUCACCUGGGGUUAAUGUGUUAUUGUUUGUACAGUGCUCUAAACAUAUGAAGUGCUAUUCACAUGUAAAGUGUGUGUGUGGGCGGGUGGGGAGGUGGAGAAAGACAGGUACCUGCCCUGAAAAACUUGCUAUCUAAAUAGACAUCAUUUAGGCAAAAAAAGUGUGUGUUAGUGGAAAUGGCAGUCAUCACUAGACUUUUUUUACAUUUAAAUAAGAGUUCCAGGACCCUAGCGUGUGAAACGUCAAACGAGUAUGAACAAGUCAGUCAAUUAAAAAAAGAAACAAUAAAAUUUUCACAUGAUGUCA